rnacentral:rRNA from 1 species
UACGAAGGGGGCUAGCGUUGUUCGGAAUCACUGGGCGUAAAGCGCACGUAGGCGGAUCCUUAAGUCAGAGGUGAAAUCCCAAGGCUCAACCUUGGAACUGCCUUUGAUACUGGAGAUCUUGAGUCCGGGAGAGGUGAGUGGAACUGCGAGUGUAGAGGUGAAAUUCGUAGAUAUUCGCAAGAACACCAGUGGCGAAGGCGGCUCACUGGCCCGGUACUGACGCUGAGGUGCGAAAGCGUGGGGAGCAAACAGG